AGGGCGUAUGGGGGAUGUCUUGGCAUCAGAUGGCGAUGAAGGGCGUGGAAGACUGCGAUAAUCUUGGGGAAGUUGUCAAACGAGCGUUGAUCCCGAGGUUCCCGAAUUAUCAUAUACUGAAUACAUAGGUAUAUGAGGCACACGCGGUGAACUGAAACAUCUCAGUAACCGCAGGAAAGGAAAGCAACAGCGACUUCGUUAGUAGCGGCGAGCGAAAGCGAAUCUAGCCUAAACCGUCUUGCUUCGGCAAGGCGGGGUCGUGGGGCUUGUCAUUGUGGAGUUACAAAACUGUUUGCUAGAAGAAUUCGUUGGAAAGCGAAACCAUAGAGGGUGACAGUCCCGUAUUUGAAAGUAAACAGACUUCCGACAGGUACCCGAGUAGGUCCGGCCACGUGGAAUCCGGACUGAAUCUGGGAGGUCCAUCUCCUAAGGCUAAGUAUUCUCUGAUGACCGAUAGUGAAAAGUAGGGUGACCGAAAGAUGAAAAGAACCCCUGUUAGGGGAGGGAAAGAACCUGAAACCAUACGCUUACAAGCUGUCGGAGCACUAUUAUCUUCGGAUAAGUGUGACGGCGUGCCUUUUGCAUAAUGAUCCGGCGAGUUACCGUCAAUGGCUCGAUUAAGGCCUUCCGGGCCGUAGUCUCAGCGAAAGCAAGUCUGAAUAGGGCGUUUUGUCAGUGGCGGUAGACGCGAAACCAGGUGAACUACCCAUGAGCAGGUUGAAGCGCGGGUAAGACUGCGUGGAGGACCGAACCCACCUAGGUUGAAAACUGGGGGGAUGACUUGUGGGGAGGAGUAAAAGUCUAAUCAAACCUGGAGAUAGCUCGUUCUCUCCGAAAUAGCUUUAGGGCUAGCCUUGAGCCACUACGUAAUGGGGGUAGAGCACUGAUUUGGACUGGGGCCCUUCCCGGGUACCCACCCUAGUUAAACUCCGAAUACCAUUGCGAUUAUCUCAGGAGUCAGUCCACGAGGGAGAAGCUUCGUGGUCGAGAGGGAAACAACCCAGACCGCCUGCUAAGGUCCCAAAGUCUUGCUAAGUCACUAAGGAUGUUAAGAUACUGUGACAGCCAGGAUGUUGGCUUAGAAGCAGCCAUCAUUUAAAGAAAGCGUAACAGCUCACUGGUCUAAUUAAGCUGUCUUGCGGCGAAGAUGUACCGGGGCUAAAGACAUGUACCGAAGCUGUGGAUGUGCACUUUGUGCACGUGGUAGCGGAGCGUUCCGUAAGCCGCUGAAGGUGUGGCGUGAGCCAUGCUGGAGGUAUCGGAAGUGAGAAUGCUGACAUGAGUAGCGAUAAAGAGUGUGAGAGACACUCUCGCCGAAAACCCAAGGGUUCCUGCGCAAGGCUAAUCCGCGCAGGGUGAGUCGGCCCCUAAGGCGAGGCUGAAAAGCGUAGUCGAUGGGAAACAGGUUAAUAUUCCUGUACUUGGUGUUACUGCGAAGGGGGGACGGAGAAGGCUAUGUUAGCCGGGCGACGGUUGUCCCGGUUUAAGCAUGUAGGCGGAGGUUCCAGGUAAAUCCGGUACCUUUUAACGCUGAGGUGUGAUGACGAGGCACUACGGUGCUGAAGUAACAAAUGCCCUGCUUCCAGGAAAAGCCUCUAAGCAUCAGGUAACAUUGAAUCGUACCCCAAACCGACACAGGUGGUCAGGUAGAGAAUACCAAGGCGCUUGAGAGAACUCGGGUGAAGGAACUAGGCAAAAUGGUGCCGUAACUUCGGGAGAAGGCACGCUGAUAUGUAGGUGAAGUCCCUGCGGAUGGAGCUGAAAUCAGUCGAAGAUACCAGCUGGCUGCAACUGUUUAUUAAAAACACAGCACUGUGCAAACACGAAAGUGGACGUAUACGGUGUGACGCCUGCCCGGUGCCGGAAGGUUAAGAGGAGGUGUGCAAGCACCGAAUUGAAGCCCCGGUAAACGGCGGCCGUAACAAUAACGGUCCUAAGGUAGCGAAAUUCCUUGUCGGGUAAGUUCCGACCUGCACGAAUGGCGUAACGACUUCCCCACUGUCUCCAGCAUAGACUCAGCGAAAUUGAAUUCUCCGUGAAGAUGCGGAGUACCCGCGGUCAGACGGAAAGACCCCGUGCACCUUUACUACAGCUUCAGAGUGGUAUUAGGGAUAACAUGUGUAGCAUAGGUGGGAGGCUUUGAAGCCGGGACGCCAGUCCUGGUGGAGCCACCCUUGAAAUACCACCCUUGUUGUUCCUGAUAUCUAACCACGUCCCGUGAAACCGGGACUGGGACCCUCUGUGGCGGGUAGUUUGACUGGGGCGGUCGCCUCCCAAAUAGUAACGGAGGCGCGCGAUGGUAGGCUCAGAUCGGUUGGAAAUCGAUCGUUGAGUGCAAUGGCAUAAGCCUGCCUGACUGUGAGACUGACAAGUCGAACAGAGACGAAAGUCGGUCAUAGUGAUCCGGUGGUUCUGUGUGGAAGGGCCAUCGCUCAACGGAUAAAAGGUACGCCGGGGAUAACAGGCUGAUACUGCCCAAGAGCUCAUAUCGACGGCAGUGUUUGGCACCUCGAUGUCGGCUCAUCACAUCCUGGGGCUGAAGUAGGUCCCAAGGGUAUGGCUGUUCGCCAUUUAAAGUGGUACGCGAGCUGGGUUUAGAACGUCGUGAGACAGUUCGGUCCCUAUCUGCCGUGGGCGCUGGAGAAUUGAGGGGGGCUGCUCCUAGUACGAGAGGACCGGAGUGGACGCAUCACUGGUGUUCGGGUUGUCAUGCCAAUGGCAUUGCCCGGUAGCUAAAUGCGGAAGAGAUAAGUGCUGAAAGCAUCUAAGCACGAAACUUGCCCCGAGAUGAGUUCUCCCUGAGACUUUAAGUCUCCUGAAGGAACGUUAAAGACGAUGACGUUGAUAGGUCGGGUGUGUAAGCGUAGCGAUACGUUGAGCUAACCGAUACUAAUGAACCGUGAGGCUUAACC
rnacentral:rRNA from 1 species